rnacentral:rRNA from 1 species
UGAACGCUAGCUACAGGCUUAACACAUGCAAGUCGAGGGGCAGCAUUGGAGUAGCAAUACUCAGAUGGCGACCGGCGCACGGGUGAGUAACACGUAUCCAACCUGCCGCUUACUCGGGGAUAGCCUUUCGAAAGAAAGAUUAAUACCCGAUGGUAUAAAGAGUUCGCAUGUUCUCUUUAUUAAAGAAUUUCGGUAAGCGAUGGGGAUGCGUUCCAUUAGAUAGUUGGCGGGGUAACGGCCCACCAAGUCUACGAUGGAUAGGGGUUCUGAGAGGAAGGUCCCCCACAUUGGAACUGAGACACGGUCCAAACUCCUACGGGAGGCAGCAGUGAGGAAUAUUGGUCAAUGGACGAGAGUCUGAACCAGCCAAGUAGCGUGAAGGAUGACUGCCCUAUGGGUUGUAAACUUCUUUUAUAAGGGAAUAAAGUGAGGGACGUGUCCCUUUUUGUAUGUACCUUAUGAAUAAGGAUCGGCUAACUCCGUGCCAGCAGCGGC